AGCUUGUACACCAUGUAGAGGGGGAUGCAGAUGAAGGACGAUGCUCCGAUGAGGAAUCCCACCGAGAUGCUCCACUCAGGCCAUAUCCUGGUCCCUGCUGGGGACACAGCUGGACUGUCCUGCUCCUACCGUGCUGUCCAGCCCCAGGGUGAUCAUCAUCAGGAAGAAAAUGAUGGCGAAGAAGGUGGACCCCACCAUGUUGGCAAUUGCUUCAGGGUAGGUGAUGAAGAGGAGGCUGGGCCCUAGGAGGGAACACUGGCUUGGUUGGCUGUUCCCUGGCACAGCCCCGGGGGUGGGAAUUCUCUUGGGGAAGAGGCUGCUGGAGGGAGGAGAACCUUUAUCUCUGGCAACAUCCUCCACCUCCACGUCCCUCAUCUCGGCCAUGUAGCCCAGCACGGUGAAGAUGACGAAGCCCGAGAGGAAGCUGGUGAGGCAGUUCACGGCACUGGUGACGAGCGCGUCCCUGGAAGGCAGAAAAGAGGGAGAGACGCCCCCCCUCCAGGCUGAAGUAGACGAUGGUGAAGAUGAGGAAGAGGCAGAGGAGCAGCUGCCAGCGGAUCCCCCCGAUGUCGUACAGACCCCCGGAUUUCUGGAUCUCCAGGACCUUCCUCCUGCAAGGAGGGAUCCCCACGGCCGGGAGCAGGCUCAGCCCCGGGCAGGCAGUCCAUGAGCUCCUCAGGAGCAUUCCCACCUGAGAGCCUGCUCCCAGUGCCCCCUCAGCUCAAACACACCAUCCACAGCCGUGCACUUACGUGUAAAACUCCUCGGCGGGGGACCUGGAGAAGUUGGUCCAGGUCACGUUGCUCUUCCCGAAGUAGUUGGUGCAGUCAGGGGUGUUCCAGGGGUUGUCACAGCUCGCCCAGGGCAGGGUGCCCGAGAAGGAGGAGUAGAAGUAGUAGAGAGCCCAGGCGAUGAUGGUGUUGUAGUAGAAGGAGACGUAGAGGCCGAUGAUGCAGAUGGCAAAGCCGAUGCCUGGGAAAAGCAGGAUCAGGCUCAGCCCUGGGACACAGCUUUGGGGACUGGCUGGGGGUCACGGUGUCACCUGGGCUGCGGGUCUCUCACCUUUAAAGAGGGGGCAGAUGCGCUUCCAGAUGGGGAUGGCACCUGUCCUGUGGAACUGCCCCAGGGCCAGCUCCAUGUAGAAGAGGGGCACCCCCCCGAAAACAGCCAUCAGCGUGUAGGGGAUGAGGAAGGCUCCUGCAGGGUGGGGAGCACAGCAGGGUGACCGCCAGGCUGCCAGGGGACCAUGGCAUUGUCACCUCCUUCCCUCCUGCUGCUGCCCCAACAGGUUUGGAUGUGUUUGUGAGAAGCUUUGGAAAUGAUCUGGUCAGAGGAGCUCAGAGAUGUGAGACCCUGCUCGGUGUUCCAGCUUCCCAGCACAGCCCCGCUGGCAUCCCAUCCUUCACUAGGGAGGCACCAUUUGGCCAGGAUGGAACAAAGAGCCACACAAACCGUCGGGGCGCAGGGGAGGGGACACCCAGCACCCCUCAGGUCUAGAAGAGUUUUGGAGAAAAUCCGAGUGAAUAUGCGCAGCCACCCCAAGACACAUCAUUAACGCUGUAAUCUGCAUUAUUCAUAACAUCCUCGUUUUUACUGGGGCUACACUUGUACCCCAUGGAGCUUUUGGAAGUGGAGCUGCUCUCCGAGUUCUGCUGGGAUUAGUUAAUUUAACCCCCCACGGCUCCUCCUUCUGACAGAUGUGUGUGUGCUGUGGCAUCCCCAGCACCCCAACAUUCCCAGUAUCCCCAAAAUCCCCGAGCACCUCCAGCAUUUCUGGUAUCCCUAGCAUUCCCACUAUCCCCAAUAUCUCUGUCAUCUCCAGUACCCCAAAUAUCCCCAGCACCCUCCUGCAGCCCCCCCAUCAGCCUGGCAGGACUGGCCCAACAGGACCAAGUGUUUUCAGUGUUUUUCCUUCCAGGCAGAGCCUAGGCUCUGGGUGAGUCCAGUGCUGCCCAUCCCAGUGUUCCCACUCCAUGGGGCUGUGCUCCCCCAGCGCUGCUCCCUGAACUCCUCACCCUCCCGUGUGCGUGGGGCAGGUGGGAACCACCCACCCCAACCACGGCCACGCAGAGGGGCUCAGCUCUGCUCCCAAUCCCACAGGAGCAACUCACAAAUAACUGCGUUCCAACGUGGGCACCUGGGAUCCACGGUUUUGCCUUGAGUAUGGAACUAAUUAUCUCUUUCUAAUCUUCCCAAGCAGUAGAGGAUGUUCCCCGAAAGCUGACUUUGGCAAUUAAAUCCGCUGCGCUCUCCCAAA